AUUGAACGCUGGCGGCAUGCCUUACACAUGCAAGUCGAACGGCAGCACGGGUGCUUGCACCUGGUGGCGAGUGGCGAACGGGUGAGUAAUACAUCGGAACAUGUCCUGUAGUGGGGGAUAGCCCGGCGAAAGCCGGAUUAAUACCGCAUACGAUCUACGGAUGAAAGCGGGGGACCUUCGGGCCUCGCGCUAUAGGGUUGGCCGAUGGCUGAUUAGCUAGUUGGUGGGGUAAAGGCCUACCAAGGCGACGAUCAGUAGCUGGUCUGAGAGGACGACCAGCCACACUGGGACUGAGACACGGCCCAGACUCCUACGGGAGGCAGCAGUGGGGAAUUUUCGACAAUGGGCGAAAGCUUGAUCCAGCAAUGCCGCGUGUGUGAAGAAGGCCUUCGGGUUGUAAAGCACUUUUGUCCGGAAAGAAAUCCUUGGCCCUAAUACGGUCGGGGGAUGACGGUACCGGAAGAAUAAGCACCGGCUAACUACGUG
rnacentral:rRNA from 1 species